GAAGAUCCCCGGGGUGCCUUUGGCCGCCCGUUUGACUUUCGCUUUGGGAACUGUGUGUUAUCACAAUAAAGAUAUUUCCAGACUGCAAAGGAUGGGAGGUGCCCAGGCCUCCUCGAGAGCAAGCCGCCGCGCCCGCCAAAUUCAAGGCCUCCGUCCGCCCCCGCGCGCGCGCACACGCACCCCUGCCCGGCGACCCCAACGGCCGCGCCCCGGGCCGGGCGGUGGAAAGCGCGCAAACGCUUCUGCGGAGGCUGCUCCUCGCGCGUGUGAACUUCCUGCUCCGCGGCCCCGGGCGAGGCUGAGGGGGCGGGGCGGGCGGCGGACGCGGGUGGGGACCAGCUCCCGCCGCUGGGGACGUCGCCGCCGCGCCGGGGACCCGCGCCCCUGCCUCUGCUCCCCGCGCCGGCCCCUCCGGAAGCGGCUUUGGGCCGAGGCUGGGGUUGCAUCCCCGCCUUCGGGGCUCUUCUGCGGCCUUGGGGACCCCGGCGCAGCGCGCCUGCCCUGGUCCCGCCCUGCGCCCCACUCCCGCGUCUCACACCCCCCCCCCGCAGCUGGGGCCGGAGGGUCCCGGGGGAGAAAUGAGACGGAGGAAACCACGAAAUCGGGUCCAAGGGGAAAAAAGACAGACAAAGGGAUGGAUUGCCCCCCCCACCCCACCCCCCGUUCUUGGCAACAACUUCCAGAGGAUCCAGGGAAGGGGAAUUUGAUAACCAUAUGAGAAUACGGAGGAUCUGAGGAGACAAAAACAUUGCCUUAAACCAUUCAGUUAGAGGCAGAUUUAGUACACAGCCAUAUGAUCCAUUCACAGCUUCCAGAUGCUGUGUUGAUGGUCACCAGUUCCCCCAGAGCAAGCAACAAUGCAGGGAGGAAUUAGGAGCCAUGGCCGUCGACUAGCUCCUUGGGAUCCAGGUGUUUCUGCUUACCUUCUGGGAACUGAGACUCCCCGCUCCUUUUCGAUGGUGCCAAACACAUGUAGGCAUGGAUUCAAGCACCCACACUCACUGCUUGCCAGGCAAGCCAGUCAGUCUCAUCCCUGGACCUGGGCCAAGGCUUAGUGAAGGAGCCAUGGAUGGGGACAAACCAGCUCUCUGGCUGCUCAGGGCUUGAACUGAGGACCCCGAGAUCAAGACCUGAGCUGAGAUCAAGAAUCAGACACUUAACCAACUAAGCCACCCAGGCGCCCUGAAAAUCUGCUUUCAGAGUGACUCACUCACAUGGCUAGUUAGUUGAUUCUAGCAAGUUGGUGUCCUUUUCGUUGGGUUUUCCACAAGGCUGCUUGAGUAACCUCAUGACCUAGUCGCUGGUUUCCACCAAAGUAAGUGAUGAAAGAGAGUGAGAGAGAGAAAGAACGAGAGAGAGAGAGAACAACAGGCAGAGAGUGUAUUCUUUUUAUGACCUAGCCCCAGUCAUCACAAAGCCUCACUCCAUCACUCCCAAUACAUUCUGUUUGUUAGAAGCAAGUCAGUGAAUGUAGUACACUUUCAAGUGGGGGAGUUAGGUUCCACCGGUGGAAGGGAAGAGGGUCGUAAUUAGCAGAUACACAGUUGACCCUUGAACAACAUGAGGGUUAGAGGUGCUGACCCCUGUGUAAGUUGAACAUCUGCAUAUAACUUUUGACUCCCCCCAAACUUAACUACUAAUAGCCUACUGUUGACCAGAAGCCUGAUCGAUUACAUAAUCAGUCAAUUAACACAUAUUUUGCAUGUUGUAUGUAUUCUUACUAUAAAGUAAGCCAGAGAAAAGAAAUUGUUAAUAAGAAAGUCAUAAGGAGGAAAAAAUACAUAUAGAGUAUUGUAGUGUAUUUAUAUAAAAAAAAAUCUGCACAUAAGUGGAUCUGCACAGUUCAAACCCAUGUUGUUCAAGGGUCAGGUGUAUUUUAAAACCAUCACAGAAUCCAACUUAGGUUUUGUCUGAGUUUGCAGACCGCUGUCACCUGUUGAAUACUCUAUCAUCACCACACCAAUCCGAACCAUCAUCAUUUGUAUUUACCAAAAUCACAUAUAAAUUUGGGUCACUUCUGUUUCCCAUCCUGUACUGGUGUCACAUUUUAGCCUAGUAUUUCGGACAAGCUGCUUUCCUUGAGCAGAGGAAGAACUGGGAGAGAACCUCUCUGGUCCCUCAAGGGGCAAAUGCUGAGAAAGGUGUGUUACAGAACAACAGAAAAUAUACUGCUUUUCUCUCUCGUUCGCUGGGGAGAGGGAUUAGUUGUGAUGAAGCCCUGUGCUCAUGUCAGAGAGUAAAGGCCCUCAUCCUGCUAAUUCAGACACAUGGGGGCUGCAAGUGCUGCCUCCUACCCAGAGGGGGCCUCUGGUGACCUUCAGAAGGACAUGAAGAUAGAGUUGUCUUUUCAACAAUGAAGGCUUCUUUGGUGGACACUCAGCUCUGGGCAGGCUGAGACCACAUGGGCACAACCUGGGGGGUGGGUAGAGCCAAGAUAUUGGGAAUGGGUAUGGCCAGUAGCAACCUUGAUUGAACAAUAAUAGCUAGACUUAAAAAAACAAACCAACCACUUUUCAAAUUAGUAGGAACUUGGUCUUGUUCUGCAUUAUCGCCCCGAAGGCCUGUUUGGGUGAGCAGGAAUGGGGCACAGCAGGAAUUUCCAGACAGGGGCCAUUCCCGGAGUCAGGUAGGUAUGGUCUCUUGUGGCAAGAGCACCCAUUCCUGGUGAAGCAAAUGUGGCCAGCACCCUGUGGUCCAGGGAGGUACAGGGAGGAGCGUGCAGACCCCACAGGGAGAGGUGGGCAAGAUUCACUCAGAGGACUAGGAUGCUGGCCAAGUAGCUGCAUUUCAGGCCAGAAUCCAGGCUCACCAGGGAAAGGGUGAAAUAUAAAUCAGAAAAACCUUGCCUUUGGAGCAGGGAUGGCUGCAUUUCACACCAAUUCUGGUUUAGGAAGACAAGACUGAUGCUGGACGCCCCCUGCUGGAGAGGAUGUGGCAUCUCAUGGGUGGCCAAGAAGGAGGGCUCCUCGCCUGGAGAGCCAAGUGAAUUGAGUCUCAACGAGGAGGCUUGUGGUGUGGAAUCCCUCCCUCCCUCUGAAUCCCCUCACUCACCCUCUCUCAACAGCCCACCAAUGCCUACUGAUCUUCAGGGUACAGGGGCAUCCUUCCACCUACAAACAGAUCAAAUUGGCACAUGAGUCUUGGCCCCUGGAUUCACCAAUUACCAGCUCAAGAAAGCCCUGAGUGGAAAAUUCAAGAGGAUCACGUUUGGCUUCAAUGCGUACAGGUCUCUUGAUACUUUGCACAGUCUGGGUCUUGGGCCCUCUAUUUCUAAGUAUGGGCUUUGAAAUGGUGGGUCUUGGAGGAGUCUGUCUUGCUUUCACUCACAAUAACAGUGAUGGUCUCUCAUGGCCACCAACAUCCAAACCCAAGCGUCCGCUGUGAAGCGUUGGAAGAGAGAGGCCAAGAGACGCAAUAUACCUGACCUGCUGGGGGUCCAUUGCUGGACAAAAUGAUCAGAAAAGACCACUGCCCACCAGAAUAGAGCUGUUCACAAAAAACAAGUGGAUAGGCUGAGAAGUUGAGUUUUGUCAACUAUGAGCACAACAAAUUGUUUCGACCCCCAGACCCGGAGCAUGGCUUCCCUUACGUCCCAUUCAGAUCAUCACUGCCAACUGUAGGGUUUUUGUCUGCUUACUGGUCUUGUUUUAACCUCACCCUGAGCCCUCUGCUCCAUCCAUGAAAUGGGAUUAAGCCCCGCCCUUCCACAAAAUUAAGACAAGGCUAUUUGUGUGUGUUAAGAUGAAUUGAGACCAUAGCCAAUUUCUUUUUUUUUUUUUAAGCAUUCCUUUAUUGUGGAAAAAUACACAUAACAUAAAACUUACCAUUUUAGCCAUUUUCAGUGUAUAGUUCAGCGGCAUUAAGUACAUUCACACUGUUGUGCAACGAUCACCACUCUCCAUCUCCAGAACUUUUUCAUCUUUCCAAAUGGAAACUUGAUACACGUUAAACCACCUCUCAUUUCCCCUUCCCUGGCCCAUGGGAGUCACCAUUCUACCUUGUGUGUCUAUGAAUUUGACUAUUCUAGGUACCUCACAUACAUGGAAUUGUAUAGUAUUUGUCUUUUUGUGACUGACUUAUUUCACCUGGUGUCAUGUCUUCUUUCAGAUGUCUCCGUGGAAAUGGAAUUGCUGGAUCGUAGGGUAGUUCUAUUUUAAAGUUUUUGAAGAACCCACACACUGUUCUCCUUAGUGGCUGACCCAGUUUACACUCCCUCCAACAGUGCAUGGGGGCUCCCCUUUCUCCACAUCCUUGCCAACGUUUGUGAUCUCUUGUCCUUUUUUUUUUUUUUUUAAAGAUUUAUUUAUUUAUUUGCGAGAGAGAGAAUGAGAGACAGAGAGCACGAGAGGGAAGAGGGCAGAGGGAGAAGCAGACCCCCUGCUGAGCAGGGAGCCCGAUGCGGGACUCGAUCCCGGGACUCCAGGAUCAUGACCUGAGCCGAACGCAGUCGCUUAACCAACUGAGCCACCCAGGCGCCCAUCUCUUGUCCUUUGUUAACAGCUAUCCUAAUGGGUGUGAGGUGGUAUCUUCGGUUCUGCUUUGCUUUUCCCUGAUGAUGAGUGAUGUUGAGCAUCUUUUCAUGCACCUGUUGGCCAUUUGUAUGUCUUCUUUGGAACAAUGUCUAUUUGGGCCCUUUGCCCAUUUUUUAGUUGGAUUAUUAUUAUUAUUUUUAAAGAUUUUAUUUAUUUAUUUGAGAGAGACUGGGAGAGAGAUAGGACACAUGCACAAGCAGUGGGGGGUGGUGUAGAGAGAGAGGGAGAGAAUCCCAAGCUGACUCCGGGCUGAGCGUGGAGCUUGAUGCGGGGUUCAAUCUCAUGACCCGGAGAUCAUGACCUGAGCUGAAACCGAGAGUCAGACACUUAACCUACUGAGCCACCCAGGUGCCCCAGAUUAUUAUUUUUUUAUUAAGUUGGUUUUUUUUUAAAGAUUUUAUUUAUUUGAGAGAGAGAGAAUGAGAUAGAGAAAGCAUGAGGGGGGGGAGGGUCAGAGGGAGAAGCAGACUCCCCGCCGAGCAGGGAGCCCAAUGCGGGACUCGAUCCCGGGACUCCAGGAUCAUGACCUGAGCCAAAGGCAGUUGCUUAAUCAACUGAGCCACCCAGGUGCCCCUAUUUUUUAUUAAGUUGUAGGAUUUCCCUAUAUAUUUUGGGUAUCACCCCCUUCUUAGAUAUAUGGUUUGCAGAUAUUUUCUCCCAUUCUGGAGUUGCCUUUCCAUUUUGUUGAAGGUUGCUUUUGCCGUGCAGAAGCAGCUUUUAGAUUUGAUGUAGUCCCACUUGUUGAUUCUUGGUUUUUGUUCCUUGUGCUUUUGGUGUCAUCCAAAAACAUCACUGCCGAGAACAAUGCCAAGGAGCUGUUUCCUGUGCUUUCUUCUAUGAGUUUUAUGGUUUCAAGUUUUACAUUUAAGUCUUUAAUCCAACUCAAGUUGAUUUCUGUGAGUGGUGUAAGAUAGGGGUCUCAUUUCAUUCUUUUGCAUGCGAAUAUCAAGUUUUCCUAUCACCAUUUAUCAGAGAGCCUGUCCUUUCUCCUUGAGUAUUCUUGGCUGCCUUGUCAAAUAUUAGUUGACCCUAUACACCUGGGUUUAUUUCUGGGCUUUUGAUUCUGUUCCAUUGGUCUAUGUGUCUGUUUUAAUGCCAAUACCCUACUGUUCUGGUCGCUAUAGCUUUGUAAUAUAGCUUGAAACCAGGCAGUGGGAUACCUCCAUCUUUGUUCUUCUUUCUCAACAUUGCUUUGGUUCUUUGGGGUCUUUCGUGUUUCCAUGUGAAUUUUGGGUUUUUGCUAUUUCUGUGCAAAAUGCCAAUGGAAUUUUGAUAGGGAUUGUAUUGAAACACAAGAUCAUUUUGGAAGGGAGGCUGAAACCUUUAAUGGUGACUGAUGAACUCAAUGGUGAAGGGCAGAGGGAAUUCAGACUCAUCUAGGCCAGAUUAAGACCUUUAGGGGGUCUGUCUCUCAGCUCCACAUGCUGACUUCUAAGGGCUGCUUUUCAUCAUUGAGACUGAAAGUCUGCAACCUACAUGCUGUGACUCCCUGACAUGUCUCCCCUACAUUUCUUUGGCUUCCUGUUAGAUUCUGCCAAAAAGAGGCCCUGGCAGGAGAUCAGAUGGCAAGGAACAGAGAUAAGUAUCCAGUGCAACAGGUGCUGGAAGUUGCUGGUGUGGCAAUGGGCACGGAGCCCCGGUCUAGUUCAUGCAUCUGGUAGAUCCAGAACCAACCGUGAUGGUGUGGUCAGUGGUGCAGCAGGAAGCAGAGGCCCCUGGGGCUGGAAUGCACCACAGGGGCAGGGGCGGGGGCAGCAUAUAAUCACUGAAUUUCCCCUUUUUAACUCUUCCUCACUUUUGUACUCAAUUCUCCGUGUUAAAUUCCCCUGCUUGAAAUACCUUGAAUGAUAGCAAUUAUCCUGCCUGGACCUUGAAUGGCA